GACGAACGCUGGCGGCGUGCCUAACACAUGCAAGUCGAGCGGAGUCGAUCGACGGAAGCCUUCGGGCGGAAGAUGGUUGACUUAGCGGCGGAUGGGUGAGUAACGCGUGGGCAACCUGCCUCGAAGACCGGGAUAACAGCCCGAAAGGGCUGCUAAUACCGGAUGUGGUCAAGGAUCCGCAUGGAUUUUUGAUUAAAGGGGAAACCCGUUUCGAGAUGGGCCCGCGUCCUAUCAGCUAGUUGGUGAGGUAAAAGCUCACCAAGGCGACGACGGGUAGCCGGCCUGAGAGGGUGACCGGCCACACUGGAACUGAGACACGGUCCAGACUCCUACGGGGGCAGCAGUGGGGAAUCUUCCACAAUGGGCGAAAGCCUGAUGGAGCGACGCCGCGUGAGCGAAGAAGGCCUUCGGGUUGUAAAGCUCUGUCUGGAGGGACGAAGGAAGUGACGGUACCUCCGGAGGAAGCCACGGCUAAUACGUGCCAGCAGCCGCGGUAAAGUCACGUCG
rnacentral:rRNA from 1 species